rnacentral:rRNA from 1 species
CCGCGGCGAUCAAGCAAGUGAGCUCCAUUUCAAAAGAAGUACUGUUUGUUUUCUUCAAUGCACGUUUCUGGGAGAGCUAUGACUGGUGCAUCUAUGGGCUACAAGACGGGGCUGCAAUGCUGCUUGCAAUGCUGCUCUUUAUAAUCCAUAUAGUACAAACACAUACAAAUUACAUUGAUGUGGGACUUCAAAAAUAAAUCCACAAUUUGGUCCCUGAAAUGCAAGCCAGUGACGCCGGUGCACUGUAUGUCUAACCCACAAGCACUGCACAUGUGCGCCCAUGGGACAGCAACCAAAAUCUGAAAUACGCAAAAAUGUCAACUGUGAGCAAAAUAGACACCAAACAAAAAUCGUCGACGACAGCACGCACAUCUCCGCGGACUGCAUGAUUUGUCGUUCUGCACCCCAUCUCCACGGACUGCAUGCACAUGGGCGCCACACUGCACGCCCGUGCCCCAUGAAUCGUGACCACCUCAAAACACAAACAAACAAAAAAAUCAAAUGUUGGACUGCACGCACGCCGGCAGCAGCCCGCAUCUGGGCAUUCUCGACUCUUGUUUUUUUGUUGGUGGUUCUGCCUCCUGUGGAGCGAGCGAGCAAGCAAGCAGUGGCACCGCCAUUAUUGAGACCCAACACUACUCCAACCACGGCUUUGUUAGUGGAUCAGUCCAAAACAACAUGAUUCAGGCAGCGCUAAGUGCGUUCGGUACACAACAAAACGCCGUAGUUGGUCAUAUAGACAAAGCGAAACUGAAGCGGAAGUCAGCGUGCACCUUGGUCGGGUGGGGGUGCAUAUGGACUGCUCCAGCGACCAGCGGAGACGGGGCCGCCGGCCGCCGCGGAGGUGCAACUCGUCGGCGGAAAGGGUGUCCACAGGGAGGGCGACAAAUGCGAGGGCGGCUCGUCGGAUCCCGGGACCUGCUGGCUCCAAAGAUGGUGGUGGAGGGGGUGCAGUUGAUCUUGGAUGGGUCAACACAUCUGCUGGCGAACUGCAGUGCAGAAGGGCGAAUAGCACUGCACUGCAGAUCCGACCACGAGCCUCGUGCCACCAGACUGCAAGCACAAUCGCCGGUGGAUUGGACAUCCAGCCGCACCGCAGUGUCGCCCCAACAUAACUGCAGCGAUGUGCCCAAGUGAAAUCUGAAAAAGCAAAAAACAAUCGAUGGGGAGGAGAGGACACUCGAGGCCGGUGGUUGUGGCGUCGUGGCCAACGACGAGGGAGGCCAGCAGAGGCAAGCGGUGGCCGGUGAACCUGCACGAAGACUGGGGCCGCAACCGAGCUGCACGGGGUCCGCGACCGAGCUGCACAGGGGACCGCGACCGAGCUGCACGAAGACAGGAUAUCUCUCCCCCUCCUCUCUGUCUCUGCAUCGGAUCCGAGGCGAGGCGGCGAUGUAGAUCUAGGUCCGGUGUGGGUGCGGCGAGGCGGCGUGCCCGGAGUGGGCGGUGGUGGAGGUGCAGGGCAUGCUGCAGCCGCAACCCUGCUUCUCCGGCCGCAUCAAAGGCCUCCACAUCGGCCGCCUCUGCUCCACUUCCUCCGCCCCGUCCUCCAAGGCAAGAACCAUGAACUCUCCUCGUGGCGGUCGGGCGCGAAGAAUAAGAUGGCGGGGCGGCGCAUGCUCACGGCGCCUAGACGCGGAGAGGAAGGCGGUUGGCUGGUGCUGGCUUGCCACGGCCGCGCGCAGAGAUGGAGGCGAUGGAGCGAGGAAGGUGGUGGGGCGGCUUGCGGUGGCGAGCACGGAGAGGAAGGCCGCUCAGGGGAGCCCUGGUCGCGCAGGGAGGGAGGCGCGACAGCGGCCUGGGAGUGCUGCUCCGGCGGUGGCGUUGGAAGAAGGUGGACGGGGGGUUAGCCGCGGCGCGGGGAGGGAGGUGGUGCGGCGGCGCGGGCAGGGAGGUGGUCCGGCAGCACAGGGAGGUGGUCGUGCGAGAGUGGAGCACGGGGAGAGACAGAGGUGGAGGAGAGGAUAAGGUGGGUGAGUUUUCCUUUUUUUUCCUUUUGCCUCCGCAGUUCUGUCG